rnacentral:misc_RNA from 1 species
AACAAGGCGUACCUGCGGACCUGCGGAAGGAUCAUUACACAAUACAAUAUGAAGGCUGUCCGCAGCUGGAGUAUUUUAUUACCCUUGUCUUUUGCGCACUUGUUGUUUCCUGGGCGGGUUCGCUCGCCACCAGGACCACCAAAUAAACCUUUUUUAUGCAGUUGCAAUCAGCGUCAGUACAAACAAUGUAAAUCAUUUACAACUUUUAACAAUGGAUCU